UAGACAGGCAGAAAAAACCAGAGAAAUCGAGAGAGACCGAGGGAAGGAAAAAAAAUGCUGGCGGAGAUAUGUAGGAGGCGAGAUGCCUUUUUCAAGUAUUGGGUUGUCUUUCAUAGCCUCAUUGUUUCUACAAUCACAAGUAGGUAGUGACGUGGAAGCUUGGAGAUGCCCGUCAAUUUAGCCAAGAUUUUUAUCCAUAAAGCACAGAUGGUAGCUACGUUGAGCGACAUUGGAGCCUGUCGAUUUGCGAGUCGAGCCACAUGGUGUAUUUAUUGUAUGUCUAGUCUUGUCAGUACAUACAUUAUAUAUUUUUGGGAUUGAUGCAUUUUUAUCAGAAAAUGUAUUUAUAUCAUGGGUUCGCUGUAUAUUUUUAUAUAUGUUUUGCAAUUGGGGUUACCUGGUUCGAAAGGAGUGUAAAUUUCUUUCCAGUACACUUAUUUUGAACAGUUUGUAUUUCGAGGGACUAGUGUGUCCUAUUUUAAAUUAUAUGUAUGGAUUUGAGAAAAUU